rnacentral:rRNA from 1 species
CAGCACCUCAAGUGGUCAGGAUGAUUAUUGGGCCUAAAGCAUCCGUAGCCGGCGCUGUAAGUUUUCGGUUAAAUCUGUACGCUCAACGUACAGGCUGCCGGGAAUACUGCAGCGCUAGGGAGUGGGAGAGGUAGACGGUACUCGGUAGGAAGGGGUAAAGUCCUUUGAUCUAUUGAUGACCACCUGUGGCGAAGGCGGUCUACCAGAACACGUCCGACGGUGAGGGAUGAAAGCUGGGGGAGCAAACCGGAUUAGAUACCCGAGUAGUCC